rnacentral:rRNA from 1 species
GGGUGCAAUCAUACCAGCACUAAAGCACCAGAUCUCAUCAGAACUCUGAAGUUAAGCGUGCUUAGGUUAGAGUAGUACUAGGAUGGGUGACCUCUGAAGUUAAGCGAGUAGUACUAG